rfam:Triticum aestivum genome assembly, contig: Triticum_aestivum_CS42_TGACv1_scaffold_082089_1DS
CCUCUACUCCCUCCAUUCUGAAUUACUUGUCGCACGUAUGGAUGUAUCUAGAUGUAUUUUAGUUCUAGAUACAUCCAUUUCAGCGACGAGUAAUUUGGGACGGAGGGAAUAGUUG